rnacentral:rRNA from 1 species
CAAUAGCGUAUAUUAAAGUUGUUGCAGUUAAAAAGCUCGUAGUUGGAUCUCGGACCCGGGCGAAUGGUCCGCCUCGCGGCGGUUUACUGUUCGAUGGCGUCGGUUGGGCGGCUCUUUCGGGGGUUCGUUUCGGUCGGCGUCGUUCCCGGUCUCUCACCCUCUGGACGCCCGUCGGUGCUCUUGACUGCAGUGCCGGCGGCGGCCAGGACGUUUACUUUGAAAAAAUUAGAGUGUUCCAAGCAGGCGCGUUCCGCCCGAAUAAUGGUGCAUGGAAUAAUAGAAUAGGACCUCGGUUCUAUUUUGUUGGUUUUCGGAACUAGAGGUAAUGAUUAAGAGGGACAGACGGGGGCAUUCGUAUUGCGGUGUUAGAGGUGAAAUUCUUGGAUCGCCGCAAGACGAACUACUGCGAAAGCAUUUGCCAAGAAUGUUUUCAUUAAUCAAGAACGAAAGUCAGAGGUUCGAAGACGAUCAGAUACCGUCCUAGUUCUGACCAUAAACGAUGCCAACUAGCGAUUCGCCGGAGUUGUUUCCAUGACCCGGCAGGCAGCUUCCGGGAAACCAAAGUCUUUGGGUUCCGGGGGAAGUAUGGUUGCAAAGCUGAAACUUAAAGGAAUUGACGGAAGG